AUUUUUUUGUAAUCGUUUCGGUCAAAUCUAAAUGAACGGCGAUAUAAAAAUAAACAUCUCCAUUAAAACUCGUAUGGCUAAAGUGGAAAUAUUCUGUCAUGCGUAUCCUGUCUGGAGAUACACCU